rnacentral:ncRNA from 1 species
UUAAUAUCAAUGACUGGGAAGAGUAGUAAUAAUGAGCUGUUCGAGAGAGUCGGCGCAGGUGGGAGUCCGAUACAGCCGGUAUUAUGAAUGGGCCCACAAGAUGCGGUCCGAGCCAUAUGGGGUAGGAACUGCCGGAAGGCUUCCGUUAUAGAGAUAGUGGUUUAUAAUGACCAUGAGAGCCGGACUUUAGUCAAUGAGGGUGGUACCGCGGAAAUAUUUCCUUUCGUCCCUUUG